ACUCCUACGGGAGGCAGCAGUGGGGAAUAUUGCACAAUGGGCGCAAGCCUGAUGCAGCCAUGCCGCGUGUAUGAAGAAGGCCUUCGGGUUGUAAAGUACUUUCAGUCAGUGAGGAAGGUAGUGUAGUUAAUAGCUGCAUAUUUGACGUUAGCUGCAGAAGGAAGCACCGGCUAACUCCGUGCCAGCAGCCGGCGGUAAUACGGAGGGUGCGAGCGUUAAUCGGAAUUACUGGGCGUAAAGCGCAUGCAGGUGGUUUGUUAAGUCAGAUGUGAAAGCCC
rnacentral:rRNA from 1 species